ensembl:ncRNA C28F5.7 ncRNA
AAUUUCCGAAUUGAAAAUAACCAAUCAUAAUCCCUUUGCAACUUGAUCAGCAGUGUGAAAAGUUCUCAACAAUUUUUGCUGAAAUUCAAGAAGCCUCGUCUCGGGACCUCCGGAGGCUGCGCUCCAAUGAGUAAUUGAGCGUC